rnacentral:rRNA from 1 species
AGUGGCGGACGGGUGAGUAACGCGUGGGUAACCUGCCUCACACUGGGGGAUAACAGUCAGAAAUGACUGCUAAUACCGCAUAAGCGCACGGGAUUGCAUGAUCCAGUGUGAAAAACUCCGGUGGUACAGGAUGGGCCCGCGUCUGAUUAGCUGGUUGGCAGGGUAACGGCCUACCAAGGCAACGAUCAGUAGCCGGUCUGAGAGGAUGAACGGCCACAUUGGAACUGAGACACGGUCCAAACUCCUACGGGAGGCAGCAGUGGGGAAUAUUGCACAAUGGGGGAAACCCUGAUGCAGCAACGCCGCGUGAGUGAAGAAGUAUUUCGGUAUGUAAAGCUCUAUCAGCAGGGAAGAUAAUGACGGUACCUGACUAAGAAGCUCCGGCUAAAUACGUGCCAGCAGCCGCGGUAAUACGUAUGGAGCAAGCGUUAUCCGGAUUUACUGGGUGUAAAGGGUGCGUAGGUGGCAGUGCAAGUCAGAUGUGAAAGGCCGGGGCUCAACCCCGGAGCUGCAUUUGAAACUGCUCGGCUAGAGUACAGGAGAGGCAGGCGGAAUUCCUAGUGUAGCGGUGAAAUGCGUAGAUAUUAGGAGGAACACCAGUGGCGAAGGCGGCCUGCUGGACUGU